AGCUCCAAUAGCGAAUAUUAAAGUUGUUACAGUUACAAAGCUUGUAGUUAGAUUUCUGGCUAAGCAUGUGGUUCCGCUCUCUGAGUUGGCAUCGUACAUGUCUAACCAUCCGUUGGGAGAGCCACAGUGGUACUAAGUUGUUGGUGUGGGGAUCUUGAUCCUUUACUGUGAAGAAAUUAGAGUGUUCAAAUCAGGCUUACGCCGUUGAAUAUAUUAGCAUAGAAUAAUGACAUAAAACUUCUGUACUAUUUUGUUCGUUUGCGAGCAAAAGUAAUGAUUAACAAGGACAGUUGGGGGUAUUUGUAUUCCAUUGUCAGAGGUGAAAUUCUUGGAUUUUUGGAAGACAAACUACUGCGAAAGUAUUUACCAAAGAUGUUUUCA
rnacentral:rRNA from 1 species